rnacentral:rRNA from 1 species
UACGAAGGGAGCUAGCGUUGUUCGGAAUCACUGGGCGUAAAGCGCACGUAGGCGGAUGUGUCAGUCAGGGGUGAAAUCCCGGAGCUCAACUUCGGAACUGCCUUUGAUACAGCACAUCUGGAGUCCGGAAGAGGUGGGUGGAAUUCCUAGUGUAGAGGUGAAAUUCGUAGAUAUUAGGAAGAACACCGGUGGCGAAGGCGGCCCACUGGGCCGAUACUGACGCUGAGGAGCGAAAGCGUGGGGAGCGAACAGG